GAUGAACGCUAGCGGCAGGCCUAACACAUGCAAGUCGAGGGGUAACUAGAGUGAUAGCAAUAUUACUUUGGCUAGACCGGCGCACGGGUGCGUAACACGUAUGCAACCUACCUUAUACUGGGGAAUAACUUCGAGAAAUCGGCGCUAAUACCCCAUAACACUGCGGAGAGGCAUCUCUUUGCAGUUAAAGCUCCGGCGGUAUACGAUGGGCAUGCGUCCAAUUAGCUAGUUGGUGAGGUAACGGCUCACCAAGGCUACGAUUGGUAGGGGUUCUGAGAGGAUGAUCCCCCACACUGGUACUGAGACACGGACCAGACUCCUACGGGAGGCAGCAGUGAGGAAUAUUGCGCAAUGGACGAAAGUCUGACGCAGCCAUGCCGCGUGCAGGAUGACGGCCCUAUGGGUUGUAAACUGCUUUUGUACGGGAAUAAACCCUUCUACGUGUAGGAGGCUGAAGGUACCGUAAGAAUAAGCACCGGCUAACUCCGUGCCAGCAGCCGCCGUAA
rnacentral:rRNA from 1 species